rnacentral:rRNA from 1 species
GAUGAACGCUGGCGGCGUGCCUAAUACAUGCAAGUCGAGCGAACGGACGAGAAGCUUGCUUCUCUGAUGUUAGCGGCGGACGGGUGAGUAACACGUGGAUAACCUACCUAUAAGACUGGGAUAACUUCGGGAAACCGGAGCUAAUACCGGAUAAUAUUUUGAACCGCAUGGUUCAAAAGUGAAAGACGGUCUUGCUGUCACUUAUAGAUGGAUCCGCGCUGCAUUAGCUAGUUGGUAAGGUAACGGCUUACCAAGGCAACGAUGCAUAGCCGACCUGAGAGGGGGAUCGGCCACACUGGAACUGGGACACGGUCCAGACUCCUACGGGAGGCAGCAGUAGGGAAUCUGCCGCAAUGGGCGAAAGCCUGACGGAGCAACGCCGCGUGAGUGAUGAAGGUCUUCGGAUCGUAAAACUCUGUUAUUAGGGAAGAACAUAUGUGUAAGUAACUGUGCACAUCUUGACGGUACCUAAUCAGAAAGCCACGGCUAACUACGUG